CCUACGGGCGGCAGCAGUGAGGAAUAUUGGUCCAUGGGCUUACGCCUGAACCAGCCAAGUCGCGUGAGGGAAGACUGCCCUAUGGGUUGUAAACCUCUUUUGUCAGGGAGCAACGCCGGCUACGUGUAGCCGGACUGAGAGUACCUGAAGAAAAAGCAUCGGCUAACUCCGUGCCAGCAGCCGCGGUAAUACGGAGGAUGCGAGCGUUAUCCGGAUUUAUUGGGUUUAAAGGGUGCGUAGGCGGAAUGCCAAGUCAGCGGUAAAAUCCCGGGGCUCAACCUCGCUCCGCCGUUGAAACUGGCGUUCUGGAGUGGGCGAGAAGUAUGAGGAAUGCGUGGUGUAGCGGUGAAAUGCAUAGAUAUCACGCAGAACUCCGAUUGCGAAGGCAGCAUACCGGCGCCCAACUGACGCUGAAGCACGAAAGCGUGGGUAUCGAACAGGAUUAGAUACCCUGGUAGUC
rnacentral:rRNA from 1 species